AGUACGAGAGGACCGGAGUGGACGAACCUCUGGUGUUCCGGUUGUCACGCCAGUGGCAUUGCCGGGUAGCUAUGUUCGGAAGAGAUAACCGCUGAAAGCAUCUAAGCGGGAAACUCGUUUCAAGAUGAGAUCUGCCGGGGCCUUGAGCCCCCUGAAGAGUCGUUCAAGACCAGGACGUUGAUAGGCUGGGUGUGGAAGCGCAGUAAUGCGUUAAGCUAACCAGUACUAAUUGCUCGUGAGGCUU
rnacentral:rRNA from 1 species